UACGAAGGGGGCUAGCGUUGCUCGGAAUCACUGGGCGUAAAGCGCACGUAGGCGGAUUUCUAAGUCAGGGGUGAAAUCCCGGAGCUCAACUCCGGAACUGCCUUUGAUACUGGAGAUCUUGAGUCCGGGAGAGGUGAGUGGAACUCCGAGUGUAGAGGUGAAAUUCGUAGAUAUUCGGAAGAACACCAGUGGCGAAGGCGGCUCACUGGCCCGGUACUGACGCUGAGGUGCGAAAGCGUGGGGAGCAAACAGG
rnacentral:rRNA from 1 species